CCUAUGAGGAAAACAAAGGCCAUGGAAUACAGAAUUGCUCACCAAAUUUAUGGCCUGAUGUCUGUGAUGCUGUGUGAUGGAAAGCACGUCCUUCACCAUAAGUUGCUUUUGUCUGUUUUUCAACAUUAGCCUUUGGCCUGAAGGUCAACAGCUACAGCCCUGCUUUAGGACACUGCUCAACUUAUGUCCAUGCUGAAGUUGGCUCAGUAUGCUCCAUGUACUUUUUUAUUCUUCAUGGACCAGCAGCUACCUGAGACUUGUUCUCAACACAGUGAAUCACUGGAGUGAAUAAAGAUAAGUAGAAAUAUUUGAUAUCUUCUGUGGCUUUUGCCUGGAACUAGCACCUUCUCACUUCUCCCACAUUCCAUUGACCAAGUAUGUCACAAUCCCAACAUUAGUGAAACAGAGAAAUAUACCAUGCCUUUAGUGGGAGAACUAUAAAGUCAUAUGGCUAAAGGUAUGAAUGUAUAAAUAUAUUUAUGGAAAGUCAUGAAGAAUUGACAGCCAUGAUCCAAUAUCACACCAAAGAAAAAAGAAUUCUGCGGUGAUAUUUGAAAUAUCUGAUAUUCUUCUUUUCCACUACUUUUGUAGCAAUGGAAUAACUAUGACUUUGUUGCGCAUACAAUACUUGUUGAGAUUUGGUAACACAAUGAAGUCUUCACAGGACAUUGUCUUGGGACUUUCCCAUAUCUAGGGUAAUGAAAGAGACAUUGGCUCAUAUCUGUAAUCCCAGCACUUUGGAGACUGAGGCAGUUGAAUUGCUUGGGCCCAAGAGUUCUAGAGCAGCCUGGGCAAAUGAUGAAACCCCGUUUCUACAAAAAAAUACAAAAAUUAGCCGAGUUUGGUGGCACGUGCCUGUAGUUCCAACUACUGGGGAGGCUGAGGUGGGAGUAUCACUUGAGCCCUGGAGACAGAGGUUGCGGUGAGCCAAGAUCACACCAUUGCAUUCCAGCCUGAGUGACAGAGUAAGG
rnacentral:lncRNA from 10 species